GUAUAAUGUUAACUGACAUUCUGCUUUAUAAGAUCUUAUCUCAUGUCAGUCUGCUGGCGGCAGCUGCUGUCCUAAUGCUUCCAGGACCUCGGAGGCUGACCAAACUCACCGGGGUCUGAGAUGGAAGAAUAAUGAGAGCAGAUGGUCUAGAUGGUCUAAGCCUGCCCAAGGAUGGUUUGAUUUAUGCUUUCAGACUUGCGACACCUUAGGAGGAGAAUCAAGCCCGUGGAAUCCCUUUGUUGUAUUGAUGCUGCUUUGAAUCUCUGCUGUCACCACUGGCAGAGAGACACCCCCAGGAGGACCAGGUCCGUAAAGGCAGGUGGCACCUUGUCAGGAUUACUGACCUGUCCAACAGGUGAAAAUGAAAGCAGUUCACAGUGAAAGAAGCUGUCUCCAGUUUCCUCCAGGUGGUCAGUGAGACCUGGGCAUCUCAGUGAUUCAAAAUCGAGGCCAUUUCUACAACAACCUGGG